GUGCGAAUAAAUACGGCUAUAAAAUUUACCGCCAAAAACGACGAAUAUAAAACGAAAAAGUGACGAAAAACAUUAUUUUAAUUUCGCCACCCCGAGUCGCACGAACUUUAACCCGAGCGGCGGUAUUCUCACGUACAACGAACGUCUACUUUUCCUACUCCUUGUUUUUUUUUUCUUUCUAGCUCAAACGUCCGCAGAUAAAGAAACGUUCGCCGGGGUUUCGAGGAUGAGUUAUCGCGGGGUAAUAUUUAUUUUAUAGAUAGGUGGAAUUCGUACAAGGGUUUGGAUUAUUUAUAGUACACCUGACUCAAAGCGGCGACGUGGAUCUCUCGUGCCCCGGAGGGUGGUGGGCAAUGAGCGACCCGCAGACACCCUAAUGUAUGCGGCGCCUCCUCUAUCGACGUCAUGUGACACGAUUGCCAUCGACAACGUCUCCCCCACCCCGAGAUUCGGAUUUCUGAGGUCAAAACAAUUGGAAAUACCAAAGAAACCGCAAUAAAAGAGAAUGUUGAUUUUUGACUCGAAAAUCGAAAAAAAUCAAGACUAAAGGCCCUCGGAAAAUCAUGAUAAGUCACGCCACGCUGCAAUCCACCGAUGCUGUUAUUACUCAAAUUAUACUGGCAUCAGAAAAUUAUAGAGAGAAGAUAUAAAAAUUUCGAUUAAGCUGCGAAGUUUAACAUGUUGAUAUUGGUGUGAAGGGCGUAAUGGAAAGUGUAAAUAUUGUACGUUACGCGAGAGACAAGAAAGUAACUA